rnacentral:rRNA from 1 species
CACGUACUGUGCGAACGUUAUUCGGAAUCACUGGGCUUAAAGGGUGCGUAGGCGGCAAUUCAAGUCAGGUGUGAAAUGCCUGAGCUCAACUGAGGCAUUGCGCUUGAAACUGAACUGCUUGAGUAUCCCAGGGGUGUGCGGAACUGCCAGUGGAGCGGUGCAAUGUGUUGAUAUUAGCAGGAACACCGGAGGCGAAAGCGGCACACUGGGGGAUAACUGACGCUGAGGCACGAAAGCCAGGGGAGCGAACGGG